rnacentral:rRNA from 1 species
GACGAACGCUGGCGGCGUGCUUAACACAUGCAAGUCGAGCGGUAAGGCCCUUUCGGGGGUACACGAGCGGCGAACGGGUGAGUAACGCGUGGGUGACCUGCCCUCAGCUCUGGGAUAAGCCUGGGAAACCGGGUCUAAUACUGGAUAUGACUCCAUGACGCAUGUUGUGGGGUGGAAAGCCUUGUGCGGCUGAGGAUGGGCCCGCGGCCUAUCAGCUUGUUGGUGGGGUGANGGCCUACCAAGGCGACGACGGGUAGCCGGCCUGAGAGGGCGACCGGCCACACUGGGACUGAGACACGGCCCAGACUCCUACGGGAGGCAGCAGUGGGGAAUCUUGCGCAAUGGGCGAAAGCCUGACGCAGCGACGCCGCGUGAGGGAUGACGGCCUG